GGGGCAGGCGAGUAUUG
rnacentral:rRNA from 1 species